GGGGCUGUAGUGAUAAUGGCUAGCACAUCUGCCUUGCACGCAGAAAAUAGGGGUUCAAAUCCCCUCAGUUCCA
rnacentral:tRNA from 1 species